AUGGGCUCUACCUCCUGGGUGACCCAGUGCAGUGAGGGGCAGGGGCAGGGGCAGGGCUGUGCCACGAGGACAGAUGCGGCGGAAAGGCUAGGGGGCUGCAGUGCACACCCAGGAUUCCCGAGGACCCUGAGCAGCGGGGCCUCCCAGCACACUCCACUCCUUCCCACGGCUUGGAGCAGGAGGGGUCUCUGCUCUCACUUGGCAUUUCUUUCCUUCACACACACACACACACGCACGCACGCACGCACACCCCCCCUAACAAAGGGUCCAAAAGUGGGUGGUGCAAAGUCCGGGGUCAGAUUUCCGAGUCUGGGGGUCCCGCCCCGAGGAGGGGCCCCCUUAGUGCUGGGGGCGGCCCAGCCUGGCCACAAGCCAUUGUGCACAGGACACGCACAGGCCUGCGAAUGCUCAGGGACACCAAGCAGCUGGGGAAAGGGAGUCAGACCACCCAGGCUCCUGAGAGGCGCGCCAAAACGCCACGGAAGCCGGGCUCCAGCAGCCUUGCCUUUCCCCACACCGCAGGACACGAUGUCGACCCUGCCCAUCGGGCACAAUGCUUGGGCAGAAGAGGCCAGGGUGGGGCCGCAGCGGCAGGGAGGCCUGCGGGGAGCUCUGCCGCCAGGGACCAGGCCAGGAGUGUCCCACGCUCAGACAGGAGCCUUGGUGUCUCAGGAGCAGGCGUGCUGAGGCCAUCUCAUCUUCCUCGUCCCACACCCCGGUGUCGGCCAGGCCCUGACAGUGAAACAACACAGGAUGGGAAGAGGGCCCAGAACACCGGGCCGGCACCCUCCCGCUGCAUCGGGAAGCAGAGAGGAGCGCAUGUGGUCAGCGGUGCCAGCGUCGAGAAGUGACCUAAACACAACUGAUUUAGUUCUGUG
rnacentral:lncRNA from 1 species